rnacentral:lncRNA from 1 species
UCUCAGCUUUGGAAGCAAUCUCGAUUAGAGGAGCCAUACCUCAUGUGACUGUCAGGUCUGACCAUCUCUCCUCUGAAGCCUAAAAGGAGGGAAGCCCAUAGCUGGAAAGAUGUGAAGAUUCCCAGUGCAAUUUAUGCUGGCAUGGUUUCUUCACAAACAAAGAUAAUCCUUCACUUGAUGUUUCACUUCACUGGCUUGAUCCUGCAAAACUCUGCUUGUCUGAGAAUGAGUUACACAGAGAAAAAGUGCCUAGCAAUCAAAUAG